rnacentral:rRNA from 1 species
UACAGAGGUCUCAAGCGUUGUUCGGAAUUACUGGGCGUAAAGGGUGCGCAGGCCGCGCGGGCAGUCAAAUGUGUAAUCCAGGGGCUCAACCCCUGAACUGCGCUUGAUACUUCCGCGCUCGAGCUUUGGAGAGGAGUCUGGAAUUCUCGGUGUAGCAGUGAAAUGCGUGGAUAUCGAGAAGAACACUUAGGGCGUAGGCAAGACUCUGGACAAAUACUGACGCUCAUGCACGAAGGCUAGGGUAGCGAACGGG